CUAGGAUCUCCUGCAGCAACCCUGGGGCUGAUACAUCGAAGUGCGGCAGAAGCCCCAUCAAGUCACAGAAUCAUUCCUUCGCCUCCAGCAUCAGUCAUGUCUGAAUAGAAAAGUGCCAUGAGUUUACCCAGCAUAUAAUAUAGAAGAACACACGGAAAUGAGCCUUUCUUAUGAAUGGAAGAGAAGACAAAGGACGUUGACCAGAGAAGAAGACUCUCACUUACUGACUCUACAGUAGAGAAUAAAAUCUUCCUGAUGUGCUCAUUACACAUUGUC